rnacentral:rRNA from 1 species
AACCUUUAGCCAAACAAAUAUUAAAGGCAACGCCUGCCCAGUGAAUAAUUAAACGGCCGCGGUAUCCUAACCGUGCAAAGGUAGCGUAAUCAUUUGUCUACUAAUUAUAGACCUGUAUGAAAGGCAAAAUGAGGGUCCAACUGUCUCUUAUAGUAAAUCAAUUAAACUGAUCUCCUAGUAAAAAAGCUAGGAUUACAACAUAAGACCAGAAGACCCUGUGAAGCUUAAACAAAACUAUUAAACCACAUAAUAACUACUUUCGGUUGGGGCGACCUUGGAAAAAAAAAGAACUUCCAAAUAAAAUGACUAUCUCAUUAACCUAAACAGGCCAACAAGCCAAAAAUGACCCAGCACAGCUGAUAAUUGAACCAAGUUACUCCAGGGAUAACAGCGCAAUCUUCUUCAAGAGCCCAUAUCAAAAAGAAGGUUUACGACCUCGAUGUUGGAUCAGGACAUCCUAAUGGUGCAGCCGCUAUUAAGGGUUCGUUUGUUCAACGAUUAACAGUCC